GACGAACCGUGCAAGCGUUGUUCGGAAUCACUGGGCUUAAAGGGCGCGUAGGCGGGUUCCCAAGUCGGAGGUGAAAUCUUGCGGCCCAACCGUAAGAGGGCCUCCGAUACUGGGAGUCUCGAGGGAGGUAGGGGUCGGUGGAACUUCCGGUGGAGCGGUGAAAUGCGUAGAUAUCGGAAGGAACGCCGGUGGCGAAAGCGACCGACUGGACCUCUUCUGACGCUGAGGCGCGAAAGCCAGGGGAGCAAACGGG
rnacentral:rRNA from 1 species